AUUGAACGCUGGCGGCAUGCCUUACACAUGCAAGUCGAACGGUAACGGGCCUUCGGGUGCCGACGAGUGGCGCACGGGUGCGUAUUACAUCGGAACGUGCCCGAUCGUGGGGGAUAACGAGGCGAAAGCUUUGCUAAUACCGCAUACGAUCUACGGAUGAAAGCAGGGGACCGCAAGGCCUUGCGCGGACGGAGCGGCCGAUGGCAGAUUAGGUAGUUGGUGGGAUAAAAGCUUACCAAGCCGACGAUCUGUAGCUGGUCUGAGAGGAUGAUCAGCCACACUGGGACUGAGACACGGCCCAGACUCCUACGGGAGGCAGCAGUGGGGAAUUUUGGACAAUGGGCGCAAGCCUGAUCCAGCCAUGCCGCGUGCAGGAUGAAGGCCUUCGGGUUGUAAACUGCUUUUGUACGGAACGAAAAGCCUUCUUUUAAUACAGGAGGGUCAUGACGGUACCGUAAGAAUAAGCACCGGCUAACUACGUG
rnacentral:rRNA from 1 species